rnacentral:rRNA from 1 species
UCCGUAGGGGAACCUGCGGAGGGAUCAUUGCUGGAACGCGCCCCAGGCGCACCCAGAAACCCUUUGUGAACUUAUACCUUACUGUUGCCUCGGCGCAUGCCGGCCCCCCUGGGGGCCCCUCCUUCUGGAGGAGCAGGCACGCCGGCGGCCAACCCAACUCUUGUUUUUACACUGAAACUCUGAGAAUAAAACAUAAAUGAAUCAAAACUUUCAACAACGGAUCUCUUGGUUCUGGCAUCGAUGAAGAACGCAGCGAAAUGCGAUAAGUAAUGUGAAUUGCAGAAUUCAGUGAAUCAUCGAAUCUUUGAACGCACAUUGCGCCCUCUGGUAUUCCGGAGGGCAUGCCUGUUCGAGCGUCAUUUCAACCCUCAAGCCUGGCUUGGUGAUGGGGCACUGCCUGUAAAAGGGCAGGCCCUGAAAUUCAGUGGCGAGCUCGCCAGGACCCCGAGCGCAGUAGUUAAACCCUCGCUUUGGAAGGCCCUGGCGGUGCCCUGCCGUUAAACCCCCAACUUCUGAAAAUUUGACCUCGGAUCAGGUAGGAAUACCCGCUGAACUUAAGCAUAUCAAUAAGACGGAGG